GCUGCAAGCACAAGAGAGGUCACCGGCCGCCAGGGGCCAGCGGCCAGGGCGCCCGCCCGGCCUCCCCUCGGCAUUUGUGACGAUACAACGCGACUGUCCUCGUGCUCAGUUCACGUUCUGCAGAGGAACCCAGCCCCCCCAGGAGCCCCGCUGGCUGCCCGGGAGGCCAGGCGGCCCUCCUCCUGCGGGACGGACGGACGGACGCAUGGACGCACGGCGCUCCACACCCAGGCUGACGCUGGCCGCGGCCGCGCCCAUCUCACCUUCUCUUCAGUUGUUUCCAGGCACACAUCAGAUGGACGAGGCUCCGUUCAGCGCUGGGUUGAGACCCCCACAAACUGUUACACAGCCCCAGGAGUCGCCCUGAGAAGCCACCUAAUGUGAACACCCGCCCAGGCCGCGACGCGGAGGUUUGUAGGAGGGUACAAAACCAGACAGGAGGCACUGCGGUGCGUCUACCGCCCUGAAAACAGACUCAUGACACAGACAGGCAACAAUCGUUAGGGGAGACACACACGUACAACCCCCAGGGCUGUGCACAGAGCUUCCUCACUGUGACAGUCUGCAAACCCACACUGAAAAGUGAACUCUAGCAAGUCCACCUGCCAGGCUGGCCCCGGGCCCCACUCAGAGAGGCAGCAGCUUGACCAAUCCAGGGGAGAAAGCAUGUGGCAAAGACUAGGCCUGGUGUGCACCGAGGGUGUCCCUGAGCGCUGGACGCCCCAGCCUGCAUGCCGCAGCCAGGGUUCGGCGUGGCCGGGCCACAGCCUCCUGUGUCAGCCUGGACCAGUGUUCUGAGGUGUCCCUGCCCAUUACAGCGCCCAGGGUGGCCACAAGGAUACCAAGCAGAGCUCUUCCGCACGGGGACCUCCCAGGCCAGCACGGUUCCCACCCUGCCUGCUCCCCAAGGCCACCGGCCGCCAAGCGGGAAGAGACUGCUCUGUGUGUGUGUGUGCGGUGGUCCUGGCGCACAGGGGGCUUACCUAGGACUUGGCCCCCAGCAGGACUGUCUGCUAAGAGCCACACGGCAGGGAAGGAGAGGGGAGUCACCUGUUCAGAACAGCAUCUCGGCCACCACCUCCGCGGAGGACUUGUCCAUGCGGCCCCUGGCCAGCUCGAAGCACCUGCGGGCGAGCUGCUGCUGCCGGGCAUCCUCGCUCACCAUCAGCUCCCCGUACAGGUAGAUGCCCAUGGCCUGUGGGGCGGAGGCCACAGCGCGUCAGAGCAAGGAAACUGUGCGUGCGCACGCCACACACACACGCCGGUUCAGAAAUCCCCAGACACAGGGAGGGACCCGGGCCCUGCUUCUGCGAGCUGCCUGGCGGUCCUCAUCACCUCGUCCUCCUCAAAACCCCGCAGGACCCUCGGCUACCCACUCUGUCGACGGACCCUGGUACUCUCACUGGCGACAGGGACAAGGGGGUGUUUCCACAGUGAGGACCGGGCUCCCCAGACAGCCACCACGGGAAGCCUGCAUGUGGCUAUGGAUCUAGGAGUCCCUAAGAGCAGCUGGUGCCCGGUCAUCCCCAAACUCGCCCACGGGCCAAAGCCACAAGACCACAGUGCGUGGCAGCUGCUGCCACCACAGCCUGGGCCACAGCUGCAGCAGACACGGAGCAACGCCCCAGACAUGGGGCCCCACUGGCCCUGGCUACUCUCUCCUCGCAGGCUUAGAUAAGCCACGGGGCGAGUGAAAGAUGGACGUCAAGGAUUGCACUAGGUGAAACUCCAGCAGUCAGGGGCUCCGAGGUGCUCUCGGGGGGAAAGCUGAGCCACGCCGGGUGGAGACCGCGGCUCGGAGCAUGCUGCCAGGGAACGCCGGUCUCCCGGACAGGGCCUCUGGCCUCACGCGCCCGUGUUUUCCCCGACACCUCUCACUCCACUGUGCAAAUGUGACAUUUCUUCUGCUACCAAGUCACGUGUUUUCCUUUGUGAGAAUAAGGAGUCCUUACUGGCGGCUGCCCCCCCCAGCCCGAGAC